rnacentral:tRNA from 1 species
GGGGGAUUAGCUCAUUUGGCUAGAGUACUUGCCUGGCAGGCAAGGGGUGACGAGUUCGAAUCUCGUAUUCUCCA